rnacentral:rRNA from 1 species
GAUGAACGCUGGCGGCGUGCCUAAUACAUGCAAGUCGAGCGAACAGACGAGGAGCUUGCUCCUCUGACGUUAGCGGCGGACGGGUGAGUAACACGUGGAUAACCUACCUAUAAGACAGGGAUAACUUCGGGAAACCGGAGCUAAUACCGGAUAAUAUAUUGAACCGCAUGGUUCAAUAGUGAAAGACGGUUUUGCUGUCACUUAUAGAUGGAUCCGCGCCGCAUUAGCUAGUUGGUAAGGUAACGGCUUACCAAGGCGACGAUGCGUAGCCGACCUGAGAGGGUGAUCGGCCACACUGGAACUGAGACACGGUCCAGACUCCUACGGGAGGCAGCAGUAGGGAAUCUUCCGCAAUGGGCGAAAGCCUGACGGAGCAACGCCGCGUGAGUGAUGAAGGUCUUCGGAUCGUAAAACUCUGUUAUUAGGGAAGAACAAAUGUGUAAGUAACUAUGCACGUCUUGACGGUACCUAAUCAGAAAGCCACGGCUAACUACGU